rnacentral:rRNA from 2 species
UGAAAUUGAACUCGCUGUGAAGAUGCAGUGUACCCGCGGCAAGACGGAAAGACCCCGUGAACCUUUACUAUAGCUUGACACUGAACAUUGAGCCUUGAUGUGUAGGAUAGGUGGGAGGCUUUGAAGUGUGGACGCCAGUCUGCAUGGAGCCGACCUUGAAAUACCACCCUUUAAUGUUUGAUGUUCUAACGUGGACCCGUAAUCCGGGUUGCGGACAGUGUCUGGUGGGUAGUUUGACUGGGGCGGUCUCCUCCUAAAGAGUAACGGAGGAGCACGAAGGUUGGCUAAUCCUGGUCGGACAUCAGGAGGUUAGUGCAAUGGCAUAAGCCAGCUUGACUGCGAGCGUGACGGCGCGAGCAGGUGCGAAAGCAGGUCAUAGUGAUCCGGUGGUUCUGAAUGGAAGGGCCAUCGCUCAACGGAUAAAAGGUACUCCGGGGAUAACAGGCUGAUACCGCCCAAGAGUUCAUAUCGACGGCGGUGUUUGGCACCUCGAUGUCGGCUCAUCACAUCCUGGGGCUGAAGUAGGUCCCAAGGGUAUGGCUGUUCGCCAUUUAAAGUGGUACGCGAGCUGGGUUUAGAACGUCGUGAGACAGUUCGGUCCCUAUCUGCCGUGGGCGCUGGAGAACUGAGGGGGGCUGCUCCUAGUACGAGAGGACCGGAGUGGACGCAUCACUGGUGUUCGGGUUGUCAUGCCAAUGGCACUGCCCGGUAGCUAAAUGCGGAAGAGAUAAGUGCUGAAAGCAUCUAAGCACGAAACUUGCCCCGA